rnacentral:rRNA from 1 species
CGUGGGUGAUCUGCCUUUGAGUGGGGGAUAACCUUCCGAAAGGAGGGCUAAUACCGCAUGACAUCCUGUUCUUGGAUGAACGGUGAUCGAAGCUGGGGACCGCAAGGCCUGGCGCUUGAAGAGGAGCCCGCGUCCGAUUAGCUAGUUGGUGGGGUAAUGGCCUACCAAGGCGACGAUCGGUAGCCGGCCUGAGAGGGCGGACGGCCACACUGGGACUGAGACACGGCCCAGACUCCUACGGGAGGCAGCAGUGGGGAAUUGUUCGCAAUGGGCGCAAGCCUGACGACGCAACGCCGCGUGGGGGAUGAAGGUCUUCGGAUUGUAAACCCCUGUUGGGUGGGACGAACMCUUUCGUGGUGAAUAUCCAUGGAGGCUGACGGUACCACCUGAGGAAGCCCCGGCUAACUCUGUGCCAGCAGCCGCGGUAAUACAGAGGGGGCAAGCGUUGUUCGGAAUUACUGGGCGUAAAGGGCGCGUAGGCGGCCUGUUAAGUCGGACGUGAAAUCCCUCGGCUCAACC